GUUAAGAUCAGCUGUUUGUUGACUGUGUUUGUGAAGUGCAUUUAAAAAUGGUCGUCUGAUUUUUGGUCUGGUAAUGGUAUGGAAUAUGAGGGGAUAUAAGGAUGCCAAAGGGAAAAUAUAGGUAAAAAAGACGCGCAGGAGGACCCGGCAGCCGGCGAGAUGUCCAAAUUCGACGAGUUACUGAUACUCCUCGGGACCGGGAGGUGGAAUCUGAUCGCUUUCUGCGCUGCGGGUUACUGGAUGAUCCAAGUCCCCGGCCACAGCGUGGGCGGCGCUUUCCUGACGCCCGAAGUGGAUCACACUUGUCGUCUGCCUCAAGAGGCCACGAAUGUAUCGGAAGUGUCACAGUGCAAAUACAACGUGACAACCUCUCUGGGGACUUACGAGGAACGACCCUGUACGCGAUGGGAUUUUGACAACACGACCUACACCAAGACCCUUACAUCAGAGUUCCAGCUGGUGUGCGAGUACAGAUUCCUUCGACCUGCCUUCAAGAGUCUCUACUUCUUCGGUGCCUUCUUCGGAGCCCCUAUGAAUGGAUGGCUGUCCGAUAGAUACGGGAGGAAGACGAUGGUCGUGAUAGGGACAGUCAGCUAUACGAUCAUUACCAACACUCUCUCCUGGCUACCUAAUGUCUCUGCCAUACUGUUGGCCCGUUUCUGUAUGGGACUCAUGCAUCCGACGGCCAUACAUUCCAUUUUCAGUCUGGCCAUGGAAGUCUGCGUCCCUCGCUAUCGGUCCUUCGUAGGGUAUCUUAGUAUUUCUGCCCUGGGCUUUAUCUAUCAUUGCCUUGGGAGGUGUCGGGUACCUGCUAAGGGACUGGAGGUGGUUCAUGUUCACAGUCACUCUGCCGAGUGUGCUCUCCUUGCCUGCGCUGUGGUUUAUCGACGAAUCACCUCGUUGGCUGAUCGUGAAAGGUCGCCACCAGGAGGCUCUGCGCGUCCUCCGAAGGGCCGCGAAAUGGAACAAGGUCAAAUUACCAAGAGAAGAGGAACUGUUAAAGGUCAUGAUGGAAAUACAAAAUGAGCAAGGAGAUGGACAGCAUCAAGCUCGAGCGAAUUCAUCGACAUUUUCAGAUCUCCUCAGAGGUGUUGCCAAUGAACUUGUUAUUCUUUUCAGAACCCGAAGAAUACGGACCUUAACCCUAUACUUAUACGUGAA